rnacentral:lncRNA from 1 species
GUCUUACUGGGGAACCCUGCCUGCUUGAAGCCUUCUAAAGAUGCAAAACUUGGGGAGUCUUCACAAGCAAUCUGGAGGAAUGAGUCUGCGGUAGAAAGGACAGUGCCUGUGAAAUUAUUACUUAAAACAGAGUCCAGAGUCUCAGGAUGUUAUCCUUGAGUGACCUGGGAAGGAGCGAACUCCUUCAUAGCUGAAGAGCAUGUGACGUUGACUGUUGUCAGGAAACUUGCAGCUGCAGGAUAACAGCCUGAAACUUUUUAAUGGGGAAGCUUCUUUUCUGUUGGCAUCCUUCUUUACUUUUAACUCAAAAGUCUCUGUAAUAUUCUGUGUUUUUAGCACUUUGGCGUUCUGAUUUCAUACUGCAAAACAGAUAAUUUGUAACUCUCCAGAUCUCACCAGUGCCUCCAAAGGAUGCGUGUUGCCUCACAGACAUUUUUUUUUUCCUCUUUUAUUUCUUUUUUCCAACACAUAAAGCUAUAAACAAGCAAUGAAGAAAUCCAUCCUUUAAAAAUAGCUGGUGACGGUCAGGGCACAUGUUUUGCUACUCAUGCAGAAAAAGGCGAGCAUCUGCUUUGAAGAGAAGGCUUCAAUGGCUCCAGCAGCAAUUUAUAGUCAUGAAGCUGUCAGCUUGCACCUGCACUGCAAGCAGCAAAGGAGAAGGGGAAGAGGAUGUCUCUUAUUUUAAACUCGGAGUUAUUCAGUAGAAAUCAUUCUGCUGGGCCUUUUUAAGAUUGUAGGGGGCCAGUUUUAAAACUGUGAUGACUGUGCUGAGAUACAGUAGCUAAUAUGUGCUCUUCUGCCAUUAUCUUGGACUGAUCUUGAGAGUGGCUGGGGUGUAGGAUAGGAAUACAACUUACUAGUAAUGACUAAUUUUUCUGUGGUGCCCUAGUCCUUCUAGCCUCAAAAAACGUGGCUCAAGUCUGUAGGAGAGAGGAAGCAAAGUAUCUCCUUGUCUCCCCCUACCUCCUUCUGCACCUUUCUUCUUCUGCCUGUCCCCGUAUUUGUGCCUGUGUCCAAGCCCCAAUGUCUGUGCCAAGAGGGAGAAGAUGUGAAGGUGGAUUUCAAUCUCCAAUAACUUUCAGUUGUAUCGGUUUCCUGACAAAGAGGAAAAUGAGCCCAAACUUUCAAACUAUGGGAGAAAAGACUUAGCAGGACAGCAGUGACUGAGGGUGGGUUUUUGCUUCUGGGAAGAACUAAGCUGAAGAGCUUCUCAGCACUGACAUUGAAUGAAAGACUAAACUCAGGUCUGCUGCAGGAGCAAUCCUUUGGUUUGGAAUCAGUCUUGAGCUGAACGUUAAUGGUAAGGCUAUCAAGAAAGAAUUGCAUGUUCUGUCAGAUAUUCAGAGAGGAUUU